GUCUCUUAUUGAUUUAAAAGCAUGUUAUUUAUUCAUUUGUCUUGAAGUUCAGUUUUGUUAUUGUUUGUUUUUAAAGAGUGGGGUUACGCAGUCACAGACACCCAGUAUGGUAUAUAAAUUCGGCCGGACUCCGACAAUACUCAUAAGUAACUUAAAACGUUAAGUAACAACACCAGCAAAAUGUUCAAACUUUUGGUAUUCUUGGCCCUUGUUGCCUUUGCUCUCGCUAGUCCCAAGCCUGCUCCACAACUUAUCUCUGGACUCUACAGCGGAUACACUGGACUUGGCUACGGUUAUGGAUAUCCUGCUGCCUACGGUUAUGGAGGUUUAGGAGGCUUUUACUAUUAGUCUGAUAUAUUAUCAUAACUAAUGCAUAUUUUGUUGCACUUUAAAUAAAAAUGGAACAGCUGUGAA